UACGUAGGGCGCAAGCGUUAUCCGGAAUUAUUGGGCGUAAAGAGCUCGUAGGCGGUUUGUCGCGUCUGCCGUGAAAGUCCGGGGCUCAACUCCGGAUCUGCGGUGGGUACGGGCAGACUAGAGUGAUGUAGGGGAGACUGGAAUUCCCGGUGUAGUGGUGGAAUGCGUAGAUAUCGGGAGGAACACCAGUGGCGAAGGCGGCUUCCUGGCGCGAUUCUGACGCUGAGGUGCGAAAGCGUGGGGAGCGAUCCGG
rnacentral:rRNA from 1 species